UGGAAAACUGAAGGUUCGUCCGCGUCCCAUCAUCCACCAAAUCCAAAAAGCCUUCUUGUCCACGUUCGAACUUCGGAUCGGUGACCCCUGUCGAUCUUCAUCAUCAUCCUCCUCCUCCUCCUCCUUCUUCUUCCUCCUCCUCCUUCACCUACUGUCGCGCGUCCAAAUAGAGGGUCUCGAUCACAAACGGAGGAUUCGCAGUCGCACGAACUGACCACACUGCUCGAACUUGUGUUGAACGGACAAUGGAGUGCGAGGGGAUGCGUUUUUGGACUUUUAGUGGGUUGGUGGGUGCAUUUCUUGACCUCGCCAUCGCGUAUUCUCUGCUGUGCGCAGCUACUCUUGCUUAUUUCACCUCUAAGUUUUUGGGGGUUUUCGGGUUGUGUUUGCCCUGUCCCUGCAACGGACUCUUCGGGCAUCCAAAUCGUAAUCGCUGUGUUAGGAAGGUUUUGGUGGACCAACCGUCGGAGAGCAUAUAUUCCGUCCAAAUGUCUGUGAAGAACAACUUCCCGUUCGAUACAGUAUUGACCAAUGACCGGGAUUGUGAGAUGAUUUUGGAGCCGGAGGAACAUAGGAUUUGCGAAAACGGGCACGUGCAAUUGGAAGGUGGAGCAUCAUGUAGCUCGUACGCAGAAAGGAGAGAACGAGAUGUAGGUGUCCGAGGGUUAAUUGCAAGAAAGGAAUCGGAUGCUGCGAUCGGUGCAGUGGACUCACUUUUGGGGGAAGAAGGAAGGUUUGACUUUAAGGGAAAGGGAGCUUUGAGCCAGAGGACAAAGGGCCUUCGGCGGCGUAAAAAAGGGUCAGUUGAAUAUGGGAAGUUUUCAUCAGUCUCUUCAUAUGAUCCAUGGCAAGAAGAUGCACAAGAUGUGCCUUCUCCUUCAAGCAUGAGAAAAUUCAGAGAGGAGUCUCCUGAAGAGAGCUUGUUCUACACAGAGUCCCGGUAUAACUGUGUGCAAGUUUCAGAUAAAAGAGAUGCUUUAACGGACUCUGCGCGUGAUUCUGAGAAAACUCCUGAUUUACAUGAUGACACGGAGAAAAAUUCAUUAGCUUUUGAAGAAUUCGGAGCUAAUGGCAACGGACAGUCUGAUUUUGGAGCUGGCAAUAAGGAUACAGUUAGACCCUUGGAGCAAAUACUAGAAGAAGAGCGUUCUGCUUGCCAUGCUUUGUACCUUGAGCUUGAGAAAGAAAGAAAUGCAGCUGCUACAGCUGCAGACGAAGCCAUGGCUAUGAUACUGCGUCUUCAAGCAGAUAAGUCAUCAAUCGAAAUGGAAGCUCGGCAGUACCAGAGAAUGAUAGAGGAAAAAUCUGCUUAUGAUGCUGAGGAAAUGAACAUUCUCAAAGAGAUAUUGUUGAGGAGGGAGAGGGAAAGGCAUUUCUUGGAGAAGGAAGUAGAAUCGUACAGGCAAAUGAUAUUUGCAAAUGAGCGGUUGGAUGAUGAUCUGAAUGAAACAAUAGCUCCUGGGGUAACAAGAACAUCCUCAUUGAUUGCAAGUGAAGAUCCAGAGCUGAUGCUGCAGCACAUUGGUGAGUCUCUUAUCAAGGAAGAGAAACCUGAAGCAAACAAUGAUCCAGGCUUUCAGGUCCGUUUCGUUCCACUUCAGAAUUGUACUGUUGGUUUUGACAGAGAAUUGCAAAUUCCAGAGUGGCUUGAGGAUGACAAGUCUUUGAGAGCAAGCUGUACUAGUGGUGGGCAACCAGGUGUUGACAUAAGUGAUCUGCAUCUGGCUGUUAAUGAGAUAAAUCAAGAAGUUCAGGAAAAGAUAAUGUUAUCCGUAGACAAUAAAUUAUCCGCCCUUCAAGAAGAUUUUCCGAACAAAAGUAAGCAGUUCUCUUCCCAGGGAUUUGGUUUCCGUGUGGAGACCGAUGAGAAGGAAAAUGAGCGCCUAAUUGUCAACUCAAGCCUGUCUAAAUGUUCAGCAUCAGAUAUCAAUGAGACCCUUAGGGGGAGCCACAUGAACAUUCCAUUAGGUGGUGGCUAUAUGGAAACUGAUGGGAGAUAUGCAGAUAUCAAUGAUAAAGUAUCAAAAACAUUGGGAUAUGGCAUGGAGCCCUGUGUCCAUGAUGUCCAUGUAAUCAGCAAUGAACCACCCAGUGGACAUACUAAAGGGGGAGGUGGUAAGGGGGCAAAACUGACUAAAAAUACGUCGUUAAAUAUUCUGACAAGUUCCAAGCAUCUGGUCCUGGACAAUCAGGGUACUGGACUAGACAUGAACAGAAGCAGUUCUGAUGUGUCAAUAGUUAGCUUACAGGGGCAAGCCUUGCCCCCUUAUUUGCGUAGAAAUUCCAUGUCUGCUGUCGAUUAUGAGAGGAUGAAAAUUGACCAUGAAGUUGGGUGGCUUAGGGAGCGGCUUAAGAUUAUACAAGAGGGAAGGGAAAAGCUCACUAUCUCAGCAGGGAACAGAGGAAGGGGAAAGAACGAGUUGCAGCUUUUGGAAAACAUAGUAAGCCAACUGAGAGAGAUCCGAGAAAUGACAGGAUAUGGGAAGGCUGAGCGCCGGGCUUCUCUGCCACCUGCAUCCUCAAAGGUGCGGUACUGAGUUUUAUGUUGACAUGUUAUUUACUGGAAUGGGGGAAACAACCAAAUUGCUAUUUGCUGCAGGCAAGCGCCAAGAAGAGGCGCUGGCGAAGUGUAUCUUUAGGAGUGCACCGAAGCACCUGAUUAAGGGUGUGAACAGUGAAGGCAUCUAUCUAUGCUUGUGCAUACCAGCUUGCUUUUGAAUACGCCCACCAAGCGACUUUCAUCUUAUGAACUUCAAGGGGUGACGGUUUGAUCUUUGAUGAUGCCGAUGGUUUUUUUUUGCCAUGUCGCCAGUGGAUUGUAUACGAUGUCGCCUGGUUUCGGUUAUAUGAUGUAGUCAAGCCCAUGUACAUAUGCCCUUGGUCUUUGUGAUGAGAUGCUUAGAUUGGUUAAUUCGGAAAAAAGAGACUCUUGAUCCUACUUGGGAAAAUUGUCCAAAAAGUGCUAAAGCUAUUACACGGUGGCCAAUUUAGUCCUAAACCUUU